GGACGAACGCUGGCGGCGUGCCUAAUACAUGCAAGUUGAGCGCUGAAGGUUGGUACUUGUACCGACUGGAUGAGCAGCGAACGGGUGAGUAACGCGUGGGGAAUCUGCCUUUGAGCGGGGGACAACAUUUGGAAACGAAUGCUAAUACCGCAUAAAAACUUUAAACACAAGUUUUAAGUUUGAAAGAUGCAAUUGCAUCACUCAAAGAUGAUCCCGCGUUGUAUUAGCUAGUUGGUGAGGUAAAGGCUCACCAAGGCGAUGAUACAUAGCCGACCUUAGAGGGUGAUCGGCCACAUUGGGACUGAGACACGGCCCAAACUCCUACGGGAGGCAGCAGUAGGGAAUCUUCGGCAAUGGACGAAAGUCUGACCGAGCAACGCCGCGUGAGUGAAGAAGGUUUUCGGAUCGUAAAACUCUGUUGGUAGAGAAGAACGUUGGUGAGAGUGGAAAGCUCAUCAAGUGACGGUAACUACCCAGAAAGGGACGGCUAACUACGUG
rnacentral:rRNA from 1 species